rnacentral:rRNA from 1 species
GAUGAACGCUGGCGGCGUGCCUAAUACAUGCAAGUCGAGCGAACAGACGAGGAGCUUGCUCCUCUGACGUUAGCGGCGGACGGGUGAGUAACACGUGGAUAACCUACCUAUAAGACUGGGAUAACUUCGGGAAACCGGAGCUAAUACCGGAUAAUAUAUUGAACCGCAUGGUUCAAUAGUGAAAGACGGUUUUGCUGUCACUUAUAGAUGGAUCCGCGCCGCAUUAGCUAGUUGGUAAGGUAACGGCUUACCAAGGCAACGAUGCGUAGCCGACCUGAGAGGGUGAUCGGCCACACUGGAACUGAGACACGGCCCAGACUCCUACGGGGGGCAGCAGUAGGGAAUCUUCCGCAAUGGGCGAAAGCUUGACGGAGCAACGCCGCGUGAGUGAUGAAGGUCUUCGGAUCGUAAAACUCUGUUAUUAGGGAAGAACAAAUGUGUAAGUAACUAUGCACGUCUUGACGGUACCUAAUCAGAAAGCCACGGCUAACUACGUG